AACUACACGAUUUUUUACAAUUUGGUGUUUUACAAUUGCAUCAAUGCACCUGGUUGAGAUUCACAUGCAGACGAUAUAAGACAUCGACAUAAUCAGAGUUGGUAUUCCAUGUGUCAGAAAAAGAGUUGAACGAAUACAAGGUAUUUAAACUCAUUAGUUGGAACCCGAAGCAAUAAAGACUCGCUUGCGUAAUCGUUAACUUUAGACCCAGAUGGUGGAGUAAUAAGAACGACCUAAAGGGAUA